UACGUAGGGGGGCAAGCGUUGUCCGGAUUUAUUGGGCGUAAAGCGUCUGUAGGUGGCUUUUUAAGUCCGCCGUCAAAUCCCAGGGCUCAACCCUGGACAGGCGGUGGAAACUACCAAGCUGGAGUACGGUAGGGGCAGAGGGAAUUUCCGGUGGAGCGGUGAAAUGCGCAGAUAUCAGGAGGAACACCGAUGGCGAAGGCAGGGUCUCUGGGCAUUAACUACGUGAGG
rnacentral:rRNA from 1 species